rnacentral:rRNA from 1 species
AACGAACGCUGGCGGCAUGCCUAACACAUGCAAGUCGAACGAAACCUUCGGGUCUAGUGGCGCACGGGUGCGUAACGCGUGGGAACCUUCCUUUAUGUUCGGAAUACCUCAGAGACAUUUGAGCUAAUACCGGAUGAUGUCUUCGGACCAAAGAUUUAUCGCCUUUAGAUGGUCCCGCGUUGGAUUAGCUAGUUGGUGGGGUAAAGGCCUACCAAGGCGACGAUCCAUAGCUGGUAUGAGAGGAUGAUCAGACACACUGGGACUGAGAAACGGCCCAGAAUCCUACGGGAGGCAGCAGUGGGGAAUAUUGGACAAUGGGCGAAAGCAUGAUCCAGUAAUGCCGCGUGAGUGAUGAAGGCCUUAGGGUUGUAAAGCUCUUUUAACCGAGAUGAUAAUGACAGUAUCGGGAGAAUAAGCUCCGGCUAACUACGUG